GUUACUCUAUAAACAACAUAAGAGAAAAAUGCAAUAUUUUAAUCAAUAUGUAUAACAUCUUAUCUCAUCUUAAAACAUGACAUUGUUCUAUCAUUGGGAGCAUGAUUGGUAGUAGUUGCAUGGAUUGGGACUGCACCUGUAACAUGGUGAUGGUUGAUGAUCCAAUUUGGGAAGAGUAUGCAGAGGUAUUAUUAAUUUAAAUUUGGUUUCCCGUUUUUUUAAAUAUUCUAAAUAUGUAUUAUGAAAUUGUUGUUACUUGAUAUAUUUUUAGGAGCCUUUAUGUUAUUCAACUGAAUCUACAUGUGUGGUUAAGCAACCAAAUAUGUUAGAGAAAGAAAAAUGGCUUAGUUGACUCCAUUCAAACUGCUUUGAUACAGCAAUCAGUAAAACUUAUAAAACUUAUAAUUAAUCGAAUCAACUUGACAUUCGUUUGAAACUUAAUUCAUUAUUUAGAUCGAUAAACUCAUUUCAUGAAGUAAACGAGUUAAACCUGAAUUAAAAAUUAAGUUUAUUAAAUAAAUAAAACCAAACUUUAGUCAAAUACAGUUCACAUCGUUAGAUUACUUAUAUAUAUUAAAUAAAUAAUUAUCAUUCAAAUUGAUGAAUUGAACCAUAUAAGCUAAUGAAUUAAACUAAUCAGUUCACAAAUUCUUGGCAAACCAAAUCAGCUCGAGAUGGUGAGUCGCAUCCAAUAUUUGAUGAACUUUAACCGAACCGAAUUUAAGUUUGAAACAUAGCUUAUUUUAAAUUCGAGUCAAGUUUCGAACCUAAAUUUUUUUUUAUCGAGUUGAGCUCUAGUUUAAUUCAAUUCAUUUCCAACUAAAUUUUAAUUCCAACUAUAAUUUCAAACUGCAAUUCAAUUUCCACAAGCCAAAUUACACUGAAUAUGAAAUAGACUAAACAUUCAUAAAGAGAAGAGGCAUAAUAACCACAUAAUUUUAUUGGAAACUAGUAGAGACAUCUUAGUCCAGUUUCAAUUAUGGUAAAACAUGAUACAUGUAUUAGAGAAGAUUAUAUAUCCUGCUAUGCAUAAGAUUUUACUUAUUAUAUGUUCUAGUGGAAGAAUCAAAGCCACCAAAGAUGAUGGAUCCAUUACCAUUGCCCUUUGUGUAACCAGUGUUGUUUAUAAGACCUCUCAGGUUCUGUGUGCCUGUGUUGUUAAACGCGGCUGGAGGCUUCGUAGCGUUGCGCCGAGGAGCAACAGCACCAUGGUUGGGAGGUUGCGUAG
rnacentral:lncRNA from 1 species